UACGGAGGGGGCGAGCGUUAUUCGGAAUUACUGGGCGUAAAGGGCGCGUAGGCGGCUUGGUCAGUCCCGUGUGAAAUCCCUCGGCUUAACCGAGGAACUGCCUGUCAGACUGGAAGGCUUGAGACCGGGAGAGGUGAGUGGAAUUCCCAGUGUAGCGGUGAAAUUCGUAGAUAUGGGGAGGAACACCGGUGGCGAAGGCGGCCACCUGGACGGUAACUGACGCUGAGACGCGAAAGCGUGGGGAGCAAACAGG
rnacentral:rRNA from 1 species